AACGAACGCUGGCGGCAUGCCUAACACAUGCAAGUCGAACGAGACCUUCGGGUUUAGUGGCGCACGGGUGCGUAACGCGUGGGAACCUGCACUUAGGUUCGGAGUAACUCCCCGAAAGGGGUGCUAAUACCGGAUAAUGUCUUCGGACCAAAGAUCUAUCGCCUUUGGAUGGGCCCGCGUUGGAUUAGCUAGUUGGUAGGGUAAAAGCCUACCAAGGCGACGAUGCAUAGCUGGUCUGAGAGGAUGAUCAGCCACACUGGGACUGAGACACGGCCCAGACUCCUACGGGAGGCAGCAGUGGGGAAUAUUGGAGAAUGGGCGAAAGCCUGAUCCAGCAAUGCCGCGUGAGUGAUGAAGGCCUUAGGGUUGUAAAGCUCUUUUACCCGGGAUGAUAAUGACAGUACCGGGAGAAUAAGCUCCGGCUAACUCCGUG
rnacentral:rRNA from 1 species